rnacentral:piRNA from 1 species
UAGCUAGCUGAUGACAGUGUCUUC